CCUACGGGAGGCAGCAGUGGGGGAUAUUGCACAAUGGGGGGAACCCUGAUGCAGCGACGCCGCGUGAGCGAUGAAGUAUUUCGGUAUGUAAAGCUCUAUCAGCAGGGAAGAAAAUGACGGUACCUGACUAAGAAGCCCCGGCUAACUACGUGCCAGCAGCCGCGGUAAUACGUAGGGGGCAAGCGUUAUCCGGAUUUACUGGGUGUAAAGGGAGCGUAGACGGCAGUGCAAGUCUGAAGUGAAAGGCGAGGGCUCAACCCUUGGACUGCUUUGGAAACUGUCCUGCUGGAGUGACGGAGAGGCAAGUGGAAUUCCUAGUGUAGCGGUGAAAUGCGUAGAUAUUAGGAGGAACACCAGUGGCGAAGGCGGCUUACUGGACGAUGACUGACGUUGAGGCUCGAAAGCGUGGGGAGCAAACAGGAUUAGAUACCCUGGUAGUC
rnacentral:rRNA from 1 species